UGGGGAAUUUUAGAAAUGGACGAAAGUCUGAUCUAGCAACACCGCGUGUGCGAAGAAGGCCUUCGGGUUGUAAAGCACUUUUUGGAAGGAAUAGGAAGGAAUGUACUUCCAGAAUAAGUCUCGGCUAACUACGUGCCAGCAGCCGCGGUAACACGUAGGAGGCAAACGUUAUCCGGAUUUACUGGGCGUAAAGCGCGUGUAGGUGGUUUGGUAAGUAGAGCGUGAAAGCUCCUGGCUCAACUGGGAGAGGUCGUUCUAAACUAUCAGACUUGAGAGUGGUAGAGGGAGGUGGAAUUCCGCAUGUAGUGGUGAAAUGCGUAGAUAUGCGGAGGAACACCAGUGGCGAAAGCGGCCUCCUGGCCCAUUCCUGACACUCAGACGCGAAAGCUAGGGUAGCAAACG
rnacentral:rRNA from 1 species